GCAAUCUCAGGGGGAAGUUGUACUGAGACAUACGGUAUGUGGAGUAUUCGGGCUGAUUGCAUCCAUGUACUAGGUAGGUAUUAGCCAUGCUAGUGGUUAGUAGACGGGCACUAAUAGCGUCAGUUGCUAGGAAGUAAAGCGACGGCAUAUUGAGGAAUCCCAACU
rfam:Photobacterium aquae strain CGMCC 1.12159 contig0006, whole genome shotgun sequence.